GGGAAGGGGCGGCUGCUAUACAUGCAAGUCGUGCGAGACCUUCGGGUCUAGCGGCGGACGGGUGAGUAACACGUGGGUAACCUGCCUGAUCGACUGGGAUAACGCUUGGAAACGAGUGCUAAUACCGGAUAAGCUCUUGAAUCGCAUGGUUCGAGAGGUAAAGGAGCUUUUGCUUCACGAUCAGAUGGACCCGCGGCGCAUUAGCUAGUUGGUGAGGUAACGGCUCACCAAGGCGACGAUGCGUAGCCGACCUGAGAGGGUGACCGGCCACACUGGGACUGAGACACGGCCCAGACUCCUACGGGAGGCAGCAGUAGGGAAUCUUCCGCAAUGGGCGCAAGCCUGACGGAGCAACGCCGCGUGAGUGAUGAAGGCCUUCGGGUUGUAAAACUCUGUCUUCUGUGAAGAACCAUCCUGUGCAGAGAAAGCUCAGGACCUGACGGUAACAGAGGAGGAAGCCCCGGCUAACUACGUGCCAGCAGCCGCGGUAAUACGUAGGGGGCAAGCGUUGUCCGGAAUCACUGGGCGUAAAGCGCGCGCAGGCGGUCUUUCACGUCCGGGGUGAAAGCCCAGAGCUCAACUCUGGGAUUGCCUUGGAUACGGGGAGACUUGAGGGUCGGAGAGGCAAGGGGAAUUCCACGUGUAGCGGUGAAAUGCGUAGAGAUGUGGAGGAACACCUGUGGCGAAGGCGCCUUGCUGGCCGACUUCUGACGCUGAGGCGCGAAAGCGUGGGGAGCAAACAGGAUUAGAUACCCUGGUAGUCCACGCCGUAAACGAUGAGUGCUAGGUGUUAGGGGGCCCACCCCUUAGUGCCGAAGCUAACGCAUUAAGCACUCCGCCUGGGGAGUACGGUCGCAAGACUGAAACUCAAAGGAAUUGACGGGGGCCCGCACAAGCAGUGGAGCAUGUGGUUUAAUUCGAAGCAACGCGAAGAACCUUACCAAGACUUGACAUCCCGCUGACGGUCUAGAGAUAGACCUUCCCUUCGGGCAGCGUGACAGUGUGCAUGAUGUCGUCAGCUCGUGUCGUGAGAUGUGGGUAGUCCGCACGGAGCGCACCCCUAUUGUGUGUUGCUACCAAUUUAGUUGGAGACAC
rnacentral:rRNA from 1 species